CUCAAGGCAGGCUCCUCUCCUACAAAUUAAUACCUGAAACACUGAGUAAUCGCUGAUGAUGACGUGGUACCAGAAACACAGAGAAAAUGUCAGAGCUGAAGAAUGGAGCAUUUAAAGCUCUACUGGAGCUCCAGAACCGUGGGAAGCAGCAGAGGAAGGUCACAGACUGCUCUGCUCCGUGUCUCUACAAGGUCGUGGAGUCAGGGGAGACGACAGCUGUGGAGCAGGCUCAGAGCAGCUCUACCUCCUCCUGUCAGUUCUGGGAGAAAAGUACUUUAUCCUUUGAGGACUGAUGCUUGGGGAGCAGGUCCCUGGGAUGGAUUAGCUCCUUUUCACUCUCUGAUUGUUGGGUC
rnacentral:lncRNA from 1 species